GUGAGGAAUAUUGCGCAAUGGAGGCAACUCUGACGCAGCCAUGCCGCGUGCAGGAAGAAGGCGCUACGCGUUGUAAACUGCUUUUAACCGGGAAGAAACCCCAGGACGUGUCCUGGGUUGACGGUACCGGAGGAAUAAGCACCGGCUAACUUCGUGCCAGCAGCCGCGGUAAUACGAAGGGUGCAAGCGUUAUCCGGAUUCAUUGGGUUUAAAGGGUGCGUAGGCGGAGCGUUAAGUCAGUGGUGAAAUCCUGCAGCUUAACUGUAGACUUGCCAUUGAUACUGGCGAUAUUGAGUGCGCUUGAAGUGGGCGGAAUGUGCCGUGUAGCGGUGAAAUGCUUAGAUAUGGCACAGAACACCAAUUGCGAAGGCAGCUCACUAAGGCGAUACUGACGCUGAGGCACGAAAGCGUGGGGAUCGAACAGGAUUAGAAACCCCUGUAGUCC
rnacentral:rRNA from 1 species